UACAGAGGUCUCGAGCGUUAGGCGGAAUCACUGGGCUUAAAGCGCGUGUAGGCGGGACGGCACGUCGGUCGCUGAAAUCCCCCGGCUUAACCGGGGAACUGGCGGCGAUACGACCGUCCUGGAGGGGCGUAGGGGGACCUGGAACUUCCGGUGGAGCGGUGAAAUGCGUUGAGACCGGAAGGAACGCCCGUGGCGAAAGCGAGGUCCUGGACGCCUACUGACGCUGAGACGCGAAAGCCAGGGGAGCGAACGGG
rnacentral:rRNA from 1 species